rnacentral:ncRNA from 1 species
UCUGAACCGAACCUUUGCCGAAAGACUUUUCGCCCAUGAUGAUUGCCCGUUUAUGGUCCUGCAAAGCGCCGGCGAGAAUUUCCGAGGCCGAGGCCGAACCGUCGUUGAUCAGCACCACGAUCGGCAGCCCUUCGGCCACGUCGCCUUUGGUGGCGUUAUAUUUGAUGGUAUCUUCCUCGUUGCGUGAACGGGUAGAAACGAUUUCCCCCUUGUCAAGGAACAAAUCGGAAACUGCCACCGCUUGGUCAAGCAGGCCGCCCGGGUUGUUGCGC